rnacentral:lncRNA from 1 species
GAUCGCCUGGCUCUCAGCCCAGCACACAGCCCCAAGCAGAAGGUCUUGAGCUCGAGUGGAGGCUGAGCCGUGCCCUGAGAGAGGCGCUGCGACCUGGAGACUCCGAGCAGACCCAGUGCGAGGGACAGUGGAGCUGGCUUAUGCUCACUGACCCUGCCUUUGGGAAGACACCCAGCGUCUCUACCUGCUGCUCGUCCCAGGCCAGUGUAAACAACCAUGGUUUGCCAUUAUCGAGUGGCUCAUUGUCAGCAGGACAGAGAGCAGUCAGUCAAUCUUUGAGAAACAAGGACAUAUCUGAGCAAGAUAUGCAAGAUCAGCAAGAAAUAACUGAGUCCGGCAAUCCUCUGGUGUGCUCAAGCAUGUGUGCAUUUGCGUGGGACAAGAAGGCGUGAGUCCGAAUGUUGGUGUAGGUAGGUGAGUGUGUUGGUGAUGUGGUGUGGGCGUCUGUUUCUCAAGCAUGUGCCUAGG